rnacentral:rRNA from 1 species
UCGGGAAUAUUGCGCAAUGGAGGGAACUCUGACGCAGUGACGCCGCGUAUAGGAUGAAGGUUUUAGGAUUGUAAACUAUUUUAGGCAGGGAAGAAAAAAAUGACGGUACCUGCAGAAUAAGCCCCGGCUAACUACGUGCCAGCAGCCGCGGUAAUACGUAGGGGGCGAGCGUUAUCCGGAAUUAUUGGGUGUAAAGGGUGCGUAGACGGGAAGUUAAGUAAGUUGUGAAAUCCCACGGCUCAACUGUGGAACUGCAACUUAAACUGAUUUUCUUGAGUGCAGGAGAGGAAAGCGGAAUUCCUAGUGUAGCGGUGAAAUGCGUAGAUAUUAGGAGGAACACCAGUGGCGAAGGCGGCUUUCUGGACUGCAACUGACGUUGAGGCACGAAAGUGUGGGGAGCAAACA